CUCUUCAAAUUAAACCUGAAAGAAGGAAAUAAACUUGCUUAAUUUAUGUAAAUUUGAAGGUUGGCAUGAUGUUAAAGAACUGCCCAGAAAAGGACGUAACAAAGUGAAAGGUCUUGGUGAAAUACUCCAGCUGCUUUACUUUUCACUGUCUGAAGACCUCGUUAUUCAGAUAAUAAGAUAAUAUUCUUUUAAGCAGUGAUACUUGUUGUGUAUGGCAUUGACAAUUGUGGACAUUAUCAAGGAAAAUAUCUCUUAAAACCUUACUUUAGAGGCUACUGUCUCCACUUUAAUGUGUAUUCUGGGUUGUUGGAAGAAUUGAACUGGGACACAUGGACAGCAGCGUGUGAGAGCUUCAAAAAGGUAAGUUCAAACACUGGAGGAUGUUUUGGCUCCUGCAGGUCAGCACACCUCCAUCAUUCCAGCUCUCUUUGGUUCAAAAAGAGAGGGAUUGGGACUGUAACCUCCUGCUCACACGAAGCCUGUGAGAGUCUCCAGGAGCCUCCUCACUCACUCCUCCUGGCAGUAGGACAAGUCUGGCAUUCAAAGGGAAUUGAAAGGCAUUCUGCUUUAGAGAGGGAGAUAAUUCAAGGGCAAGCCUGUGGCAGAAAAUUAAGAGAGAUUGUUUAAGGAAACUAAAUAAUGAAGGUUGUUGGUGAUGAAAUGCACUAUUGAUCACAUUCAAAUCCAACCCACACUGUUAAAAGUCAGAAGGUAUUCUUUUAGUAUACAAUAUGAAACAAAUAUCCC
rnacentral:lncRNA from 1 species